UGGUAGGGAUGCAUGGAAGCCGACUUGAUGUUGGUUUUUAUUCCACUUGGCAUUUUCCCUGAAAGGAACAUUAAAAAAGUCAUCUUAAGCAAGGUGUCCAGGAGGAAAGAAGUGACAUGGGAGAAUAGUCUGUUCAUCCACUCCUAGAACAGAUAGCUAAACCUGUGUGACUCCCAUUUAACGUCACAGGUAAAAGAGUACUAUGUUCUCUCAUUGUUUUUCUUUUUUUAUAUCAUAAUAAGUGCAGAAUCUCUCUUUAAUUGUCCCUUUUCCUAGACAGCUUGGAGGAAAUAACUCUUCUAGCUGCCUGCAUCUAGACUGUUCUAAAAAUGAGUAGGAGAGAAGGCAGGAAGCCAAGAGCAAGAGAGGCAGGAUACAGAGAAAAGAAUACAUGUAGGACUGGAAAACUGGCCUGCGUGUCAAUUCCUGAUGCACCUACCAAAUGGUCUUAAGAUCUGACUGCUGAUUUCUCUACCUAACAAGAGACACUGACAACAUAUCUAAUACCAGAAUAAAUGGGAUAGAAGGAUAGUUGA